AGCGCCCAAGAAGUUUGCUCCUUGCAUCAAUGGCGAUGCUAGACAUAUUCUACUGGCUGUGGCCCAAAGGUACUCCUGGUGCCUGUGUGGGAAGGGCCACGAUGGGAAGAAUGCUCCUUGCUCGCUCUCAUUCUCCCAGCUUUUUAUUUUUUAUAGGCUGGAGGUGGAACUGUAAGAGCAGAGAGGAGGAGAAGGCUCACCAUGAAGACAAAAGAAGUCCUGAGCCUUGGAUUUUCUUCCUCUAGGGCUUUGUGGACCCACAGAUUGGUAGAAGUUCUGUGAGGGCUGACUUCUCCCCAUCUGUCCCAGAUGGAUCCCUUAAGGCUCAGGACACCUCAGAGGACUGGUGCAUGGGCUGCAGCCAGCCUGACCCAGCUCUAUAAAGAAGCUCACCCUUUACAGAUGCCCCAGAGAGGCCCCCAUCCUGCCCUGCAGCCAGCUUCCUGGGCAAGUGGGAUCAGGUCAGUACAUGCGCCUGUCCUUCCCUGAGCGUAAAAGGGGAGUGUGGAGGGAGAUGGUAUUUGAAACUUGGCAGUGGGGACCCACACAGACAUCAAGAACAAUCCCUUUGGCUUUCCAUUUGCCAAGUUGUUUCAGGGUCCAGGGUUUGUGACUCAUCCUGAAUGGAAACACUUGUACAGCACCACGUGGCUCCUUUCCGCCCCUGGCCGGGCGGCAGUGACCCAACCAGCUCUGCACUUUCUUUCUUCCCUUUUAAUGUAUCCAUAGGCACUCGGGGUCUCCCUCCUCCAGGGUUUCCUGAAACAGGAUGCAUUCAGCCCUUGUAGAGUUGCUGGGGAAGUGGAAGGAAAACAGAGGUGACUCUUGAAGCCCCAGGAGCUGACCUUAGAUCUUGACACUCCUGGUGUGUGCAAAGGUCUGAGGAGACGGCCAGAUUGAGGUAAAGCAGUAAAAAUCCGUGCUUGUCAGGAAAGUAGCAAGAGCCGAGUUCUACACUAACCAUUGGCUGGCCUGGGGCAGCCUGCAGCUGCACAACUGCCUCGUACAAUGGCAUGGACAAGCAGUGUCGGUGACGUAGCAGGCCGCUGGGGACCUGGGAGACAUCCUGCUGCUGCAGGAGUCCUGUGCAGAGCAGAGGAGAGAGCAGUUUGGCAAGUGCAGGGGUCCCACUCUUCUUUUGGUUGGUGGCAGGGAGCAGGUGGGGCCUAACCUGGGUGGACAGUGUCUACCUCCCUUCUGUGCAUUUUGCAUUGGCCUUAAUUGGUUCUCCCGGGAUAGUCACGAAAGCCCGACCUUUGUUCCAGGUAAAGUGCUGCAUGUUUCAUGUGUACAGCUCAUUUAAUCUUCACAGGACCUUAUGAAGUAGUUAUUAUAUCUAUUAUCAUCACAGAAAAGAACACUGAGCCUCAGAGAGGUCAAGCAAUUGGCCCAAGAUCACACAGCCUGCAAGAAACAGAGAUGGGACUCAGACCCUGGUCUAUUUGGCUCCCAUGUGCCUUACUACUAUGUUAUACCCACCCCUCCAGGUAAGAUUGGGAACCAGCUGUGGAAAGACUUUAAUAACGGGAUGGAGGGACUGCCAAGCUCUCCCUCUGGCAGGAUUGAUUUUGCAGAGACUGUGAGCUUAAUGAGAGCAAAACUCAGGUCUUAUACUCCUUCAUGUGCCCUGCAGACUCCAGAAGUGCUAGGAUGUAAGAGGCAGACAAAAGAGUGAUGUUACUGCUGUGAACUUUCAUUAGGAUGUGUAGAGUUCUGUUAUAUGUUUGGAAAAAAAUCCAUAAUCUCAAGAGGCUAUAUAAUGCUCAGAACAGCUUUAGAAAUUCUCUUUGGAAAUUGCUUUCUGAGCCCCAGGCACAUAAAUAAUAUUUUUAUAUAUAUCCUCAAUCAAGGCAAGCCUUAGUCCUUCGAGGGUAGCUUGGAAUUCCAUAGGAAUCUGAAGGUAACUCAGAGCCAAACUUGGUGAAGGGGGUGAAGUGUCAAUUUCAGAUUUGCAGUUUUGUUCAAAAACAUGUUGAUAAAGCAGCAGGCUGAUGGUCAUGAGCAGCUCACUAGCUGAUUCAGAAGACAUUUCUCUGCUGCAGCCAGCCCUGCUUCUGUGACUUCACUCACACUUUCCAUCCGAGUGGAAUAGCUCACCCUUGCCUCUUUCACACUCAGUCCCGUCCAUCCUACACUCCACCCUUUCCCCAAAUUCCUGUUCAUUGUUCCACGUCCUCCCCAAGGGUUAGUGAAUGGCCUCAUAGCUGAAAGUGCUUUACUUGAAGCGAGUCCUGAUUCUCCCAAUCCGAAGGCCCUGCUCUCACCCUGCUUUUCACCCGCG
rnacentral:lncRNA from 10 species